AGAUUUGUAGAAAGGUGAGACGGUUAGCAUCUCCCUGACAGACAGGAACAGCCUUCGGGCAAACCUGUUAUCAACACAUGCUUUUAAGGCUACCCACUCUGGCAGAUCUCAUCCAAUUUUUU